rnacentral:rRNA from 1 species
AUGCACGCUGGCGGCGUGCCUCAUCCCUGCAAGUCGCGCGAACGGACGCGAAGCUUGCUUCUCUGAUGUUAGCGGCGGACGGGUGAGUAACACGUGGAUAACCUACCUAUAAGACUGGGAUAACUUCGGGAAACCGGAGCUAAUACCGGAUAAUAUUUUGAACCGCAUGGUUCAAAAGUGAAAGACGGUCUUGCUGUCACUUAUAGAUGGAUCCGCGCUGCAUUAGCUAGUUGGUAAGGUAACGGCUUACCAAGGCAACGAUGCAUAGCCGACCUGAGAGGGUGAUCGGCCACACUGGAACUGAGACACGGUCCAGACUCCUACGGGAGGCAGCAGUAGGGAAUCUUCCGCAAUGGGCGAAAGCCUGACGGAGCAACGCCGCGUGAGUGAUGAAGGUCUUCGGAUCGUAAAACUCUGUUAUUAGGGAAGAACAUAUGUGUAAGUAACUGUGCACAUCUUGACGGUACCUAAUCAGAAAGCCACGGCUAACUACGUG